GCCGGGUGCGGUGGCGUGUAGUCCCAGCUACUCAGGGAGGCUGAGGCUGGAGGAUCACUUGAGUCCAGGAGUUCUGGUCUGUAGUGCGCUGUGCCGAUUGGGUGUCUGCACUAGUUCGGCAUCAAUAUGGUGACCUCUCGGAAGCGGGAGACCACCAGGUUGCCUAAGGAAGGGUGAACUGGCCCAAGUCGGAAAUGGAGCAGGUCAAAACUCCGGUCCUGAUCAGUAGUGGGAUCGCGCCUGUGAGUAGCCACUGCAUUCUAGCCUUGGCAACAUAGCGAGACCCCGUCUCU
ensembl:misc_RNA Metazoa_SRP Metazoan signal recognition particle RNA